CUUUUUUCCCUUUCUUAAAUGUUACUUGUCUACUAUAGUUAUCUUAUCCCUGCUCUACCACUGACAGCAUACAUAAGACUGAUUGUUUUUAUAUCAUGCUUUGCAGGACCACAACAACCACUCCCAGUCAUGAUGGAGAGAAGUGUUCAAUACCCACAGAUCCUGAAUGUUGAGCUGAUUAUACUAACUAGAUGGGACUUAGUUUUGUCUACCGUGGGGUGAGCGUAUACUACCUGAGGGAACAGGUUCUCUGUGGUGAAGAUGGCAACUUGCUGACUCAGUCUCAGAAUGCGUUAAAUCCACAUAUUCUGGCAAGUGGAGUUCUGCUUCUCCAAUAUCUCUUCCAGACUAAGUCUCGAAAGGACAGUAAUUGAUCCACCCUGAGUCAUAUGCCCAUGUCCAAAGCAAUGAGUUUGGAAAAUUUCAUGACACACUCCUAAUUUUGUGGUAGGAGACACAUCAGAACCACACAAUGAGUC
rnacentral:lncRNA from 1 species